CGAAGCGCUGGCUGCUUGUGCCUUUGAAGUCUCCUGACCCGGGUGGGCUCGGGUUGAGAGACUGAGCCAAGCCGCCCUGGACGGCCCAGAGAUGGGGACACCAAGAGACUCCCGCGGCAGUGGCAACGACCUGGUCCUCUUCUCCCUGGAACCUCCUGGCCGGGCGGGGCCUCGAGCGCUACACCCUCCAGAGAAUCAAGAAUCUGAUGCUUGGACCGGUUUAAGGUCACUUGACUGGUAAGUGGUGGCACAAGGAUUUAAACCUCGCCCAACUCCAGACUCCAUGCUCUUUACUAAAUGACCUGUUUUUGAACCAUUGUGUGACCAGGCCAGACAGAUCCAGGCCGUGCUUGGAGAGCUGAUGAACAGAGGGAGUACUGUUGUAAGUUCUCCAAGGGAAAUAAACAGGGUAAUAAAAUUGUAACUGGGAAGCCCACUUUAGAUCUGGUGUGUGUGGUGGGGAGAAACCUUUCUGCAGAGUGGAUAUUUCAGUGGAGACCUGAAAGAUGAGAAAGAGACAGCCACAAAAAGAGGUAGGGUGGAAGGGGGAAAGUAUUUCAUGCAGAGGAAAGAGCAAGUGCAAAGACGUUGGCAUAGGAAAGGGCUUUGGUGGUCAAGAAACACCAAGGAGGCCAGUGUGACAGAAACAUAGCGAGUCAGGGAGAAAGUGGGAGACUUGAGGUCACAGUGGAAGGAAGGGAGGGAAUUGGCCUCAGGUUAUGACAAGGACUGAGGAUUUUAUUCUAAGAGGAAUAGCCUAGGGAGGCAUUGAGGGCUUUUAACUGGAGCAGUAGCAAAGUCUGAUUCAUAUCUUUGAAAAGACACCUGCUGCUGUUUGGAGGAAGGAUCCUAGUGGGCCAGAGUGGAAGCCAGGAAUCCAGUGAGAUGAGGAGACCAUGGCUGUAAUCCAGGGGAGAGGUGAUAGGCUGCUAGCUCUAAGGUGUGGAGUAGGGAUGGAGGGAAGUAAAUAGAUUCAAAAUAUAUUUUGGAAGCAGG
rnacentral:lncRNA from 1 species